UUUGGCUGUGUUGGGUCUUAGUUGUGGCAUGUGGGAUCUUCACUGCGGCACGCAGGAUCUUUUGUUGCUGCACAUGGGCUUCUCUAGUUGCAGCACGUGGGCUCAGUAGUUGUGGCGUGUGGGCUUAGUUGCGCUGUGGCAUGUGAGAUCUUAGGUUCCCUGACCAGGGAUAGAACCAGCGUCCCCUGCACUGGAAGGCAGAUUUUUUUCUUUUUAAAAAUUUAUUUAUUUAUUUAUUUAUUCUUAUUUUUGGCUGCGUUGGGUCUUUGUUGCUACGCGCAGGCUUUCUCUUAGUUGCGGCGAGUGGGGGCUACUCUUCAUUGUGGUGCGUGGGCUUCUCAUUGCAGUGGCUUCUCUUGUGUGGAGCACAUGCUCUAGGUGCACGGGCUUCAGUAGUUGUGGCUUGCGGGCUCUAGAGUGCAGGCUCAGUAGUUGUGGUGCACGGGCUUAGUUGCUCCAUGGCAUGUGGGAUCUUCCCAGACCAGGGCUUGAACCCGUGUCCCCUGCAUUGACAGGCAGAUUCUUAACCACUGCACCACCAGGGAAGCCCCUUAUUGUAGGUUUUUGAUUUGUGGUUACCAUGGGGUUCAUAUAUAUUGACCUGUAAUUAUAUCUAAUUGCUUUAAACUGAUAAUCAUAUAAGUUCAAACAUUCUAAAAGAUCUACAUUUUUUGCUCCCCUCCCCCACAUUUUGAGUUUUUGAUAUCAUUUUACAUCUUUGUGCUUAUCCCUUUACUGUUUAUUGUAGUUGCUUCUUAAAAUUUAAAAAAAAUCUAAGUACUGGCUUAUUUAAGUGAUCUUUAAUCCUUACUAUAUAUUUGCCUUGCCUAUUGGGAUUUUCCCUCUCCUAUAGAUUAUUCUUUUCCAUUUAGAGUAGACCCUUCAACGUUUCUUUUAGAGUAGGUUUAGUAUUGCUGAAUUCUUUUAGUUUCUGCUUGUCGGAGAAAUUCUUUCCUUCUUUUCUAAAUGAUAAUCUUGCUGAAUAGAGUAUCCUAGGUUGCAGGAGUUUCUUUUUUAGGGCUUUGAAUGUAUUAUGCCACUUCCUUCUGCCCUGCAAAGUUUCUCCAGAGAAAUGAGCUGAUAGCCUUGUGGGGAUUCCCUUGUAUAUGACUCUCUGUUUUUCUCCUGCUGCCUUUAGAAUUCUCUCUUUACCUUUAAUUUUGCCAUUUUAAUUAUGAUAUGUCUUGUUGUGGGCCAGUUUGGGCUCAUCUUGUUUGGGACUCUCUCUGCUUCCUGAAAUUGGAUAUGUUUCCUUCUUUAGGUUUGGGAAGUUUCCAGCCAUAAUUUCUUCUAGUACAUUUUUGAUCCCUUUCUUCUUUUUCUGGAACCCCUAUAAUGUGAAUAUUGGCACAUUUUAUAUUAUCCCAUAGAUCUUGUAUGUUGUUUUCUCCCUCCCUCCCUCCCUCCCCCCCUUUCUUCUUUCUUCUGUUCUUAUUGGGUGAUUUCUAUUAUUCUAUCUUCCAGGUCACUUAUGCAUUCUUCUGUGUCAUUUAGUCUGCUAUUCAUUGCUUCUAGAGUGCUUUUUAUCUCAGAGAUUGAAUUAUCAAUUUUUGAUUGGGUCUUAAAUUUCUAGUUCCUUGGUAGAAUGAUCUGUGCUUACCUCUACUGUCUUAAUUCAGUUAGCAUUUUUAUUACCAACUUUUUGAAUUCAUUGUCUAUAGACUGAGUCUCUUUUUCAUUAUUUAUUUCUUCAGGGGUUUUCUCCUGCUCUUUCAGCAGAGAGUAGUUCCUCUGCGUUUUCAUUUUACUUAACUUUCUCUGUCUCUAUGAAUUGAGGUGCAACAGUUAUCUGUUAUGGUCUUGAAGGGGUGUUUUUAUGUGGGAACAUCCCUGUGUAGACUGUGUAGACUGUGCCUAACAUCUCUGGUGUGCGGGUUGAAUUUGAUGUGGAUGCCAGCCCACUGCUUUCCUCAGGAUGUGAUGACAACUAUCACCUUGAUAGGGGGGUACAGCUGGCGUUGGAGGAGCCAAAGACUGUGGUGUGAGGCGAGACUUCCUGUCUCCUCACUGGCCGCAGUCGCCCUGUUGGGUAGGAUCUGCUCCCAAGCUGCUGGAGUGGAAGCCCUGAGGGUCGGGCUGGAGCUGGCUCUGUUCCCUUCAGGUGUGUGUUUUUCCUUCUGCCCACACUGGAACCUUUGCCCCGAAGGAGGGGAGUGCUGCAGUAAGCAGGGUUUGUGUGCUUACACAUGUCCAGUGUGCUGCUUGUGUAGGUAUCUGCAGUCCCGCCCAGAACCGGAUCAAGGUUGUCUUUUCCCCUGUUGUGGUGGUCUCAGCUCUAGUGUAAGGUUGUGGCAGGGAGUGGGUGCGCUGGAGCGUUUGCUUGGGGGUCAUGGCAUUGUGGUUGCAGGAGUCGAAGUGGCUGCACUGUCAUCAGAAGUCUGGGCUACUUCUGUGGCGCUGAGUGAGCACCAACAGUGGCCAUCACUCAUCCUGUACCAUGCCCCAGGCCCAUGGGUCACCUCUGUGUCCCUAGAUCGAGUCUUUUUCCAGGAUGUGGCUGCCCUAGAGUCAGUGCCAAGCUGUGGUGUGGAGUGAGUGGGGCCAGGGGGUGCACUCAGCUUGGGUCAGAGAGUGUGGCAAGGUGGCAGCUGCUAGGGCAGACCUCUCUCCACCGUUUGGUGGCAAGCCAGCACUGCGUACUCCUCACCAGUGCAGUCUAGGCUUCUCCAGCCUUUCUAUGUGUCCCAGCUGUUCUCCAGGCAGCCGAAGGGUCUUGCCUCCUCUGUAUAAGACCCCAGGACUAGAAUGCCCAGUCUGUCUCUCAACCUGCUCACUCCCCAGGGUGAGUGUCCACCUGUACGAUCUCCCUUUUCCUCUUAGUUCCCUCCCGGGGGCACAAGUCUCGACACCUGGUGCUUUUCUUCCCAUCCUACCUGGGAUGGGAUUAUGGGGGAAUCUUUCUUGCAGCCUUGGUUGUAUAGGAGUCCUUCUGCCAGUUUCCACGUAGUUUUUGGUGAGAAUUGUUCUACAUGUAGAUGUAUUUUUUGAUGUGGGGGGGAGGUGAGCUCUAUAUCCUCUUACUCUGCCAUCUUGAUCCCCCUCCCACUCUUCCUUUCUCUCUCCUUUCCUCCUCUCAUUCUCUCCCUUUCUCUACUCAGGGAACUCUGUGGUACUUGGCGUCAUUUCUCAUCUGUACCCCAGAAGUCUUUGGAGCUAACAGGAGUCUUGUGCAUAGUCACCUGGGCUUGGACCCGCCAUCUUCAUAACCACAUGCUCCAGACUCAUGGAUUUGGCUCCUUUCAAACAAUGUCCAUAUUGGCAGCUUUCAUCCAUUCAUUCAACAAAUACUUGAGGCCUGCCCUACGCUCAGUCCUGGUCUGCGGUUACUGUGGUAAACAAGACAGGUAUGGCCCUUACUCUCAUGAAGGUUAGUGAGGGGAGAAAGGAAUAAGCAAAUACACAGGGUGAUUUUGGUGGUAAGUGCUGUGAAGAAAAGAAAGCAGGCUGAUGCGGGAGAAAGUGACUGAGGUUGUCAAGACAGGCCUCACAAAGAGGUGAUGCUCGAGACCUAGAUGAUCAGAUUGCACUAGAUCACCAGGCAGGUUUCUCUGUUGAAAAUAACAGGAUCCGACUCCAGUUAACGUAAGCAGAAAAGGAAUGCACUGGAAGGGUAUUGGGUACUUCAGAGAAUGGGCGGGAGGCCUGGAAAAUUAGGCCAGCACAGAGGCGGUUGCUAAGGGAGGUUAGCCAGAACACUGACCAAAAUCAUGCUACAGCUGGUUCUUGUUAGGACCCAGCCACCACUGCUCUGGAUACUGACCUCGAACCCUGGACCCAUGGGCACACCACCGCCAGAGGGACCUCCAAACUGGGCCUGAUCACCGCAGACCACAGGUUGUUCACAGUUUCAGGACUGUUUCUGCAGCCGUCACAUGAUAGCAAAACGGUGGUAAGCAGUGCACGAGUCUGCGUCGAAGACAGCCAGAGUCCAUGCAUCGGGAGGUUCUCUCGGUUGGAGAAGGAACAAAGGGAAGACAUGCUCGGGCCAGGAGAUGCAGUUCCUCGCUCUCGCCACUAGAGGGAAUUCGUGAAGCUCCUCUCUGAAUGAGAAACCUGCCUCCACUGCCCAAAAGGCAAAGCUAAGACGAUAACCCAGAGUUCACCCAGACACAAGGUUCUUCAUAAAUAGACUCAGCCUCUCUGAAUCUCCUUCGUCAUCUGUCAAAUGGCGAUGGCAAUUAAACCCAUCUCACAGGGCUGUGAAGAUUCAUCAAGACAGUGGUUGUAAAACCCUUACCACACACAAAGCCUUCUUAGGGAAAACCAAGACUCCCUGACCAGCAAAGUUUGCCAGACUCUUUCUCUUCUUGACUGCAACUGACCUGAUGCUUGAGCUUGGAGCGAGAGGCAGGAUCCAUCCUCCAGCUUCCUCAGGAGGAGAAAGAUCAAAGGUAGGAGAGCUGGCUCUGAGAACUGAACUUGACCGUGCACCAACAUCAGUUUAAGCCACUCCCCCUAUGUCUACAAGCCCAGUUGACCUGGCAGCUAGGGGUGGGGUGGGAGCAGGACUGGGUGCUGUUGCCCCUAACAAACCCUGCUCCCUCUCCCAGAGAGACCCUGGGUCCCAGACAGUGCCCCUGGCCCACAUCACCUUUCCCCUCCAGGCCUUGUAUAUGGUUCCCACUGCUUACACUGCUCUUCCCCCUUUGUCGGCCUAGAAACUCUUCUCACCCUUCAAGGCCUUGCUAAAGCAUCACUUCCUCCAGGAAGCCCUCCCUGCUCUCCCAGCCAAGUCAGCGGAAUCCACAGAACGUGCAGCUUCCAGGAUCCUUCAACAUCUGGUGUCCCCCUCGCUCCCUGGCAGCACCUCCUCGGCCUUCUCUGCCUGCACCCGAGUCACUCAGGCUCCUCUGGCUCCUCUCCCUCAUCUCGUUCCUCGGAGCUCCUCUCUCCGGCUGCACCCACCGCCUGGGCUGAGGACCUGGGUAUCUGGAAUUAUAACCAAUCAAUAGACAGAGGGUGAGAAGACACUCUGAGUACACGUGGAGCCAGCAGGGCUUGGAAGAGAGAGAUUCCCAGGCCUCCCGUUCAUCCUAACCAUCGGUGUCCCCAGCACUACUCUGUGACAAAGGCUGGGCGCUUUUCCAUACAGGGCUUUGCACCUGCUGUUCCCUCUGCCUGGAAUAUUCCCUGCUCGCCAGGGGGUUUAUCUGGAUGAUGUGGGUGGGCCACGUCCCACGUCAUCACAGGGCCCUUAAAAGUAGAAGAGGGAGGCGAGAGAAGAGUCCGAAGGAGCGUGACAAGGGGAGAAGUCAGAGAGGCGACACUGGCUUUGAAGAUGGAGGAAGGGGCCAUGAGCCAAACAAAGGGGGUGCCUCUAGAAGCUGGAAAGGAAUGGGAAAUAGCUUCUCCCCUCGAGCCUCCAGAAUGGAACGCAGCCCUGCUGACACGUGAUUGUAGCGCAGUGGGACCUAUGUCGGACUCGCACCCUGCAGAACUGGAAGGUAUGAGAUUUGUGGUGUCGUAACCCACCCAGUUGGUGGUCAUUUGUUAGCGCAGCCCUAGGAAACUACAACAGGAGGAUCCUGCCUCCCAGGUGCGUGCCCAGGUGUGUGGCGGGGGGAGGGUGUCUGCAGGAGGCGUGGUCUGGGCGGCUGGGAAGCCUGGCUUGGACCUAGAUUCUCUCCCUCAGCCUCCUCGCCUUCGCUCAGGCUGGCCCCUGCCGGGAAGGCACCUCUCCUGGAGGACGCCUGGGGGCUGCCUCCCCUCCUUCCUCAGUGCUUCCAGAGAUCUUGGUUCUUAGACUCCUUACCUGCCUUGCCCCCUUCAGACCCUGACUUCCAUAGCCAAUUCCCUUUGAUGUCCGCCACAAACCGGCCCAGGCUUUGAGGUCAGACAGCCCUGGGUUCAAAUCCCAGCUCCACCACUUACAUAAGCUCUGUGGAGCCCAGUGGGUUACUGACCCUUUCUGAGGGUCAGGCUCCAGGGCGUAACACCACAUCUCUCAGCCUGGUUUUUAGGACCUUCUCUGUAAGGUGCUCUAUGAAACUCUGCCCUACGAGGGAAUCUAUCCUAUGGGGGGGGUCCCUAGGAUUCAGCAGCCAGGUACUGCCGACUCGAGGUCCCAGGAGUCUAGAGACGCACGGUCACUGAGCGCCCGAGUUGGGCCCCUUCCCCUGGUCGCGUGGCCUUCACAGCCCUGGGGGGCCCCCCUGCAGCAUGAGGACAGAGAGGCCUGGAGUGGGGAGCUUGCUCCUCCAGGUGUAGUGGGAGGGCCACUGCCCUUUCUCCCGCAGCCCUGCCUUCCCUUCUGGGGUGGCGCCCCCGGACCGGGGGGAGCCCGGGCCCCAGAGUUAACUCAGGCCCCAGCAGCCUGUGGCUCCUCAGCCCGGGGUGGCCACCUGGGGGUGGGACCCCCCAGUUGGUCUGCAAUUGUCCUGAGCAGUGUUGGGGGAGGCCCUCUGCCCAGGGGGGUGCCCCCACUGCUGAUUCUUCCUCUCUAUCAGGUCACUCGAGGGCCAGGAAGGAACUCCCCAGCUUUGGCUUCUCAGAAGGCGGCCAGGACAAGACCACCGGCCCCUGGGCUCUGCUGCUCACGCUCCUGUGUCCUGUGUCCCCUGUCCCUCUGCCUCCGCCCUGGUCUCUACUUGGAAACAAAGCUGCUGGGCUCCAGUUGAGUUCCCCCUGGCAUGGGGUCUGCCCUACUCACCCCAAUUCUGAAAAGGGAAGGACCCAAUUCUGAAAAGAUGUGACCUUCCCUUCCAUGAGAUUACAAA